rnacentral:rRNA from 1 species
GACGAACGCUGGCGGCGUGCCUAACACAUGCAAGUCGAACGAAACCGUCGGGCCUAGUGGCGCACGGCUGCUUACCGCCGGGGAACCUACCCGUGAGUUCGGAAUCACUCCCCGAAGGGUGUCCUAAUACAGGAGAAUCUCUUCCGGCCAAAGAGUUAUCGCCUUUGGAUGGGCCCGCGUUAGAUUAGCGAGUUGGUAGGGUAAAAGCCUACCAAGGAGACGAUCCUUAGCUGGUCUGAGACCAUGCUAAGCUAGACUGGGACUGCGACACGGCCCAGACUCGGACGGGAGGCAGCAGUAGAGAAUACUGGACGAUGGGCGAAAGUCUGACAAAGCCACGUGGGGUGAGUGAUGAAGGGGUUAGGGUUGUACAGCUCUUUUAGACGGGAUGAUAAUGACAGUAACGGGAGAAUAAGCACCGGCUAACUACGUG